UGGGGAAUUUUGGACAAUGGGCGAAAGCCUGAUCCAGCAAUGCCGCGUGUGUGAAGAAGGCCUUCGGGUUGUAAAGCACUUUUGUCCGGAAAGAAAUCCUUGGCUCUAAUACAGUCGGGGGAUGACGGUACCGGAAGAAUAAGCACCGGCUAACUACGUGCCAGCAGCCGCGGUAAUACGUAGGGUGCAAGCGUUAAUCGGAAUUACUGGGCGUAAAGCGUGCGCAGGCGGUUUGCUAAGACCGAUGUGAAAUCCCCGGGCUCAACCUGGGAACUGCAUUGGUGACUGGCAGGCUAGAGUAUGGCAGAGGGGGGUAGAAUUCCACGUGUAGCAGUGAAAUGCGUAGAGAUGUGGAGGAAUACCGAUGGCGAAGGCAGCCCCCUGGGCCAAUACUGACGCUCAUGCACGAAAAGCGUGGGGGAGCAAACAGGAUUAGAUACCCUGGUAGUCCACGCCCUAAACGAUGUCAACUAGUUGUUGGGGGAUUCAUUUCCUUAGUAACGUAGCUAACGCGUGAAGUUGACCGCCUGGGGAGUACGGUCGCAAGAUUAAAACUCAAAUGAAUUGACGGGGU
rnacentral:rRNA from 1 species